rnacentral:rRNA from 1 species
AACGCGUGGGUAACCUGCCCUAUACACAUGGAUAACAUACUGAAAAGUUUACUAAUACAUGAUAAUAUAUAUUUACGGCAUCGUAGAUAUAUCAAAGUGUUAGCGGUAUAGGAUGGACCCGCGUCUGAUUAGCUAGUUGGUGAGAUAACUGCCCACCAAGGCGACGAUCAGUAGCCGACCUGAGAGGGUGAUCGGCCACAUUGGAACUGAGACACGGUCCAAACUCCUACGGGAGGCAGCAGCC